rnacentral:lncRNA from 13 species
CACCACUUCCUGUUAGGUUCAGCCAAUGGAAACACUUACAGGAAAUUAGAGAGCCGGGGGAGGAGGGGUGAAGCCACGGUAUUGGUAACUCCUCUCUGCGUUCACAGGCUUUUCCAGCAUGGGUUUUGUCUCUCCUGGAAGUCUGUUCUCACCAAGCAGAUCAGCCCUCAAAGGCCCCAGCUCCUGGACCCUGGGUCCACGGAGGCAUGCCAGACAGAAACUGCUGAGAGCAAGCAGGGGGUGUGCAGGCUGCAUGAUUCCUUGGGUUCUGAUGGUCUUUGUUGGAAGGUAGUUUCUCUCUGAUGAGAUGUUAUUUUGAAUAUUAUAAUCUUUUGGAAAAAUAACGCUGUCAUCAUCUGCGUAUGUUUUCUUUCUUCAGUAGCAUUGCCGAGGGAUAUUCAGCAUUUUUAUCAUAGACUGUGCAGCUUUCAGGAAGAAAAACAAACAUCUAAAGAGAAAACACACCAUGUUUGGUGGCAGUCUCCAGUUAUCGAGAUCUGGAUCACUGAAAGAGGUCACAUUACAGCCUUCUCAUACAGGAACACUGGAAAGCACCUCAGCACUACAAUUGAGGUCCAUUUUAAACAGCAAAAUCUCCGUCAGAAAGCCCUCAGAUUGGAAAAAUGUAUUACUACAUAGAUCGUGAAAAGGACGCUUAUUCAGGGAGCUGAAACAAGACCAUCAUCUCGCUCAGCCUCAGCUGACGACUUGCACAUUGCGCGGCUUCAAUGUGUUGCCAUUCUGUGCAUGUCUACAGAUGAAUUUAAAAGUACCAAGAGAAUUGAUUUGGGGGUGCUACAUUAAGUCUAGCCUGAAGCUGCCUCCUUGUAUAUUUUAAGUGUAUCCUAAAGGUUUCUCAGUGUAUAGUGAACUGUCUCCCAGCUGGACAUGUAAAAAAACUAUCACUUAAUCUUGUAACAACUGGCUGAGUCUCAGCCAAUCACAGCAGUCAUAUGUCAACCACUCACAGGCAGUCAACUGUUCACAUCAUGUUCAAGUGAGGCAAACACUGCUCAGCUGUAACCAAUCCAGCUGUUUUUGUAUCUCACUUCCUUUUUCUGAACAUCACUUUUCUAUUUCUGUUUAUAGAUCCUCUCUGACCACAGGGUAGCAUGGGGCCUCUCUGAACCUAUUCUGCCCAAUUCAUGACUCCUUUGCUCAAUUAAACUCUGUUAAAUUUAAUUUGCCUCAAGUUUCUCUUUUAACAGAAGUUCCAAAUUAAUGUUAGCAAGUAGGAGAAUUUACAAAAGUAUAAUCCAAUCCACAAUGAGGAUCGACCCUAUACCCACGCACACAUUACCAGGUACUUUCUGAGCAGGCGGGUCUCUGUAAUUCUAGUUCCAGUCUCUUCUUCUGUGUUUGCCCUCAUCACCUCUUUUUUUGUUUGUUUUGUUUUUGAAAUAAGGUCUCACUCUGUUGCCAGCUGGAGUCGAGUGGCAUAAACACGGCUCACUGUAACCUUGAACUCUUGGGUCCACACAAUCCUACCACCUCUGCCUCCAGAGCAGCUGGGACCCCAGGUGCCCACCACCAUACCCAGAUAGUUUUUUUGUAGAGACAGAGUCUCACUGUGUUGUCUUGAACUCCUGGGCUCAAGUGACCCUCCCACCUUAGCUUCCCAAAGCUCUGCGAUUACAGGCAUACAC